rnacentral:rRNA from 1 species
AUUGAACGCUGGCGGCAGGCCUAACACAUGCAAGUCGAGCGGAUGAAGGGAGCUUGCUCCUGGAUUCUGCGGCGGACGGGUGAGUAAUGCCUAGGAAUCUGCCUGGUAGUGGGGGAUAACGUCCGGAAACGGGCGCUAAUACCGCAUACGUCCUGAGGGAGAAAGUGGGGGAUCUUCGGACCUCACGCUAUCAGAUGAGCCUAGGUCGGAUUAGCUAGUUGGUGGGGUAAAGGCCUACCAAGGCGACGAUCCGUAACUGGUCUGAGAGGAUGAUCAGUCACACUGGAACUGAGACACGGUCCAGACUCCUACGGGAGGCAGCAGUGGGGAAUAUUGGACAAUGGGCGAAAGCCUGAUCCAGCCAUGCCGCGUGUGUGAAGAAGGUCUUCGGAUUGUAAAGCACUUUAAGUUGGGAGGAAGGGCAGUAAGUUAAUACCUUGCUGUUUUGACGUUACCAACAGAAUAAGCACCGGCUAGCUUCGUG